rnacentral:rRNA from 1 species
CAAGGGAAGGCCCCUAGCAUCGGCGAGCGAAGCGAGGAAGAGCUCAAAUUUAUAAUCUGGCACCUUCGGUGUCCGAGUUGUAAUCUCUAGAAAUGUUUUCCGCGUUGGACCGCACACAAGUCUGUUGGAAUACAGCGGCAUAGUGGUGAGACCCCCGUAUAUGGUGCGGACGCCCAGCGCUUUGUGAUACAUUUUCGAAGAGUCGAGUUGUUUGGGAAUGCAGCUCAAAUUGGGUGGUAAAUUCCAUCUAAAGCUAAAUAUUGGCGAGAGACCGAUAGCGAACAAGUACCGUGAGGGAAAGAUGAAAAGCACUUUGGAAAGAGAGUUAACAGUACGUGAAAUUGUUGGAAGGGAAACGCUUGAAGUCAGACUUGCUUGCCGAGCAAUCGGUUUGCAGGCCAGCAUCAGUUUUCCGGGAUGGAUAAUGGUAAAGAGAAGGUAGCAGUUUCGGCUGUGUUAUAGCUCUCUACUGGAUACAUCCUGGGGGACUGAGGAACGCAGUGUGCCUUUGGCGGGGGUUUCGACCUCUUCACACUUAGGAUGCUGGUGGAAUGGCUUUAAACGACCCGUCUUGACCACCCGGAACAAA